AGAGUUUGAUCAUGGCUCAGAGUGAACGCUGGCGGCGUGCUUAACACAUGCAAGUCGAACGCGAAAGGGUAGCAAUAUCCGAGUAGAGUGGCGAACGGGUGAGUAAUGUGUGAGUAAUCUGCCUUUCAGCGGGGGAUAACCUGGCGAAAGCCGGGCUAAUACCGCGUAUUAUCACGAUAUUUUUGGAUGUUGUGAUGAAAGAUGGCCUCUGCUUGCAAGCUAUCGCUGAAAGAUGAGCUCACAUCCUAUCACGCUUGUUGGUGAGGUAAUGGCUCACCAAGGCGACGACGGGUAGCCGGCCUGAGAGGGUGUCCGGCCACACUGGAACUGAGACACGGUCCAGACUCCUACGGGAGGCAGC
rnacentral:rRNA from 1 species